rnacentral:rRNA from 1 species
CUACGGGUGGCAGCAGUGGGGAAUAUUGGACAAUGGGGGAAACCCUGAUCCAGCGAUGCCGCGUGUGUGAAGAAGGCCUGCGGGUUGUAAAGCACUUUCGGUUGGGAGGACUGCUUCUAGCACUAAUAUUGUUGGAAGUUGACGUUACCUUCAGAAGAAGCACCGGCUAACUCCGUGCCAGCAGCCGCGGUAAUACGGAGGGUGAAAGCGUUAAUCGGAAUUACUGGGCGUAAAGCGCGCGUAGGCGGCUAGAUCAGUCGGGUGUGAAAGCCCCGGGCUUAACCUGGGAACUGCAUCCGAUACUGUCUAGCUUGAGUACAGGAGAGGAGAGUGGAAUUCCACAUGUAGCGGUGAAAUGCGUAGAUAUGUGGAGGAACACCAAUGGCGAAGGCAGCUCUCUGGCCUGAUACUGACGCUGAGGUGCGAAAGCGUGGGGAGCAAACAGGAUUAGAUACCCGGGUAGUC